rnacentral:rRNA from 1 species
UGAAUACGAGAUGCUACGGCGUCGAAGCAGUGUAUGUCAGACUUCCAAGAAAAGCUCGCAAUGUCAUAAAUAAAGAAUGCCUGUACCAUAACCGACACAGGUGGGUAGGUAGAGUAUACUAAGGGGCGCGAGAUAACUCUCUCUAAGGAACUCGGCAAAAUAACUCCGUAACUUCGGGAGAAGGAGUGCCUUCUUUAAGAAGGUUGCAAUAACAAGAUCCAAGCAACUGUUUAUCAAAAACACAGGUCUCCGCUAAGUCGUAAGACGAUGUAUGGGGGCUGACGCCUGCCCAGUGCCAGAAGGUUAAAGAAGUUGGUUAGCUUUUGCGAAGCUGAUGACUGAAGCCCUGGUGAACGGCGGCCGUAACAAUAACGGUCCUAAGGUAGCGAAAUUUCUUGUCGGGUAAGUUCCGACCCGCACGAAAGGCGUAAUGAUUUGGAUACUGUCUCGGAGAGGGACUCGGUGAAAUAGACUUGUCUGUGAAGAUGCGGACUACCUGCACCAGGACAGAAAGACCCUAUGAAGCUUUACUGUAACUUGAAAUUGAAAUUGGACUUUAUUUGCGCAGUAUAGGUGGAAGGCGUUGAAAGUAAUCUUGCGGGAUUAGUGGAGCCAUCAGUGAGAUACCACUCCUAUAAUGUUAGAUUUCUAACUUUGGAUCAUGAUCUGGUCAAAGAACAGUUUCAGGCGGGCAGUUUGACUGGGGCGGUCGCCUCCCAAAUGGUAACGGAGGCGUACAAAGGUUUCCUCUGAACGGGUAGAAAUCGUAUCUAGAGUGUAAAGGCAUAAGGAAGCUUGACUGUGAGACCUACAAGUCGAGCAGGGACGAAAGUCGGUCUUAGUGAUCUGACGGUGCUGAGUGGAAAGGCCGUCACUCAACGGAUAAAAGUUACUCUAGGAUAACAGGCUGAUCUCCCCCAAGAGUUCACAUCGACGGGGAGGUUUGGCACCUCGAUGUCGGCUCAUCGCAUCCUGGGGCGGUAGUACGUCCCAAGGGUUGGGCUGUUCGCCCAUGAAAGCGGUACGCGAGCUGGGCUCAGAACGUCGUGAGACAGUUCGGUCCAUAUCCGGUGUAGGCGUUAGAAUAUUGAGAGGAGCCUUCUUUAGUACGAGAGGACCGAGAAGGACAUACCUCUGGUGUACCAGUUAUCGUGCCAACGGUAAACGCUGGGUAGCUAUGUAUGGAGAGGAUAACCGCUGAAAGCAUCUAAGUGGGAAGCCCACCUCAAGAUGAGUAUUCUCAC